rnacentral:rRNA from 1 species
UACGUAGGGCGCAAGCGUUGUCCGGAAUUAUUGGGCGUAAAGAGCUCGUAGGCGGCCUGUCGCGUCUGCUGUGAAAUCCCGGGGCUCAACCCCGGGCCUGCAGUCGAUACGGGCAGACUAGAGUGCUGUAGGGGAGACUGGAAUUCCUGGCGUAGCGGUGAAAUGCGCAGAUAUCAGGAGGAACACCGGUGGCGAAGGCGGGUCUCUGGGCAGUAACUGACGCUGAGGAGCGAAAGCGUGGGGAGCGAACAGG